UACGUAGGGGGCAAGCGUUGUUCGGAUUUACUGGGCGUAAAGGGCGCGUAGGCGGCACCGCAAGUCGACUGUGAAAUCUCCGGGCUUAACCCGGAAAGGUCAGCCGAUACUGCGGGGCUAGAGUGCAGAAGGGGCAACUGGAAUUCUCGGUGUAGCGGUGAAAUGCGUAGAUAUCGAGAGGAACACCUGCGGCGAAGGCGGGUUGCUGGGCUGACACUGACGCUGAUGCGCGAAAGCUAGGGGAGCGAACGGG
rnacentral:rRNA from 1 species